UUGAACAUACGCUCUUUUUUACCGAGCUCCGCAAAAAAAUUCAGAAAGAUUGUGGAAAAACAAGUUUACAGUCAUCACUAUUACUGUUUUUAUUUGUUCAAGAUAUAAUUACUUUCCUGUGACUGGAAUAAGAAUUUGAUAAUUUAUUUCGGCAUGACCAUGCGAAGUCGUGACAAAUAGAAAGGAAGAAGCUAGCCGUUCUAUUGCUAAUCAACAAGAGAGAAACGUGCUUAUAGACAACUGCCAUAACUACGCCUGAUUCCACUCUGUCCAGCGUCGUUGUUUUGCAUUCCCUCUCCAGUAUGUAAACACCAACACUUGCCCUAUGGAUAAUAUCAUACUUUCGAAUGCUGUUGAAGAUGACGAAUUCCCCCCUUUACCGGUUACUCCGUGCAAACUUCCACCCUCCAAAAACCCCAACAUGAACUCUGACAUCGUGGCUACCCUCUCCUUACUCAUCAACUCCAGGUCUGACGCCAUUGAGAAAAUGGUAGGCACGACCACCAUGGUUAUCGAAGGCUUGAAAAAGACUGGAGUUUGUAUGUGGUGAAAUCAAGAAUUUGGAAAAAAUAAUAACAAUGUCUACCAUAGACGUCUCACUGAUCUGGAACAAUACACAAGAAGAUGGAACCUGAGACUCCACGGAUUGCCAGAGGUGGAGAAUGAGGAUGUGCGAGGAGAGGCUAUCCGCAUCUGCCAAGAAGUUAUGCCUGCAGAGAAGAACAAAGUUGGUGGUACCAUGGAUGUCGUGCAUCGCCUCGGCAAGAAGCAACAGCAAAACAAUUCAAGACCAAGGGGUAUCAUCAUCCUCUUCAUUGCCAGAUUAUACAAGGAUGCUGUCUGGAAAGCUGAUAGGAAGAACGCCUUCCUUCAGAGCCAUGGUAUGCGUUUCGCCGAGCAUCUCAGCCCAGAGGACAUAGAAAGAAGGAACAAGUUGUGGCCAAAGAUCAAUAAAGUACGAAAUGAGGCUUACUUCGGAGGACGCCGCUUCGUCAACGGUUCAGAAAUCCAUAUUCCUCCCUAAAAUCUCACCAGAAGGAACAGAUUGAUGGUUUCGGCCAUGGUAUUCUCAUUUUCCUUGUAUUGUUUACUUUACCUAACAAGCAUCAGGUGACAAUUUUUCGGAAUACUCAGGUACUUCAAGUUAUUAGUUUGGUCUUGUAUGACGAGAAGGCCUAUUUUGUUUACAAACUUACGAAGAAGACUGAAAGUUGUAUUUAUUUUUUAUGUAUACAGUAACUAAGAUACUGUUUUUAAAGAGCAAACAGGUCUACUCUGACUUUACACGGUUGUUCUAUUUAGUUAUUAAUACUUAUUUCCAAGUGAAAAGGGUCUUAGAAACAUGUAUGUAAAAAAAAAUUAUUCCAAUUUUUUAUGAUCAGUUUUCAUAUGCACUUAAAGUAGUAGGUACCCUUUUAAUUUAAAUUAUUAUUUUGUAUUUUCUCAGAAUAGUUCCUGAUUCCACUAAAGAGGGUUUUUAGUCUCUUACUACAAAGAACCCUUGGUUUGGUCUUGAACAUAAUUUUCAGUUGAGUUUAAUUUCAAAAGCCGGACAACAUCUAGCUCAGAGUUUAUGGAAAACGCUAUUUUCACUUAGUUGACUUAAAUGGUGAAGAUCUCGGUUCCUUAUCGCUUACGUUCACUGCUCCUACGUUUUUGACGACUCCUACUACAGUUUAUACUUUAUAUAAUCUUUGUUUUGUCUUUGUCUAUAGUUUCUCUUAAUGCUAGGGUGUUACGAAACAAUGCACAAGGCCUUAUUUUUAUUUGCUCAACAAUUUCAAACAGAUUUUUGCUUUUUUCAAGAGUCUCACUCAAUUUUGGCUGAUGCCAACUUCUGGAGGUCACAGUGGGACAACGAUAUUUGGCUUUCCCAUGGAUCUGAACGCACUGCUGGUGUCAUUACAAUGAAAAAUCCCUUUGGUAAUAUUCUACACUCAGAAUGUGACCCCUUUGGUCACUUUAUUUGUCUUGUGAUCAAUUACAAUGACAUUAUGCUCAUUGUAAACUUCUACGGGUACAACACCAAACAUGAGAAUGAUGAGUUGCUUGAAUCUAUAGAAACAUAUACUUCAUUGGUUAUCUAAAUUUCCGAGUUUAUUAUUAUUGAUAGGAGGGGACUUUAACAUUACUAUAGAUAAUUCAACUGAUAGAUGGCCCCCAGGUAGGCCAACCAAUCAGAAUUUGGGUUUAAUACUUUUUAUGGAAAAGUUUGAUCUUACUGAUAUAUGGAGAGAGAGGUUUCCUGCUGACAGACCAUUCACUUGGAGUAACAAAACAGGUUCCAGACAAUCCAGAAUAGAUUUUUGGCUUAUAUCCAAAUGUAUUGAUAGUGAGUGUGUUACUACAAGUAUUUGUACUACUCUCCUCACAGACCAUAGGGCCAUUUACAUUGAUAUCAAAAUAUUUCCCCCUGAUACUAACCUUGGUAGGCCAUCCUACUGGAAGCUAAAUAGCUCAUUAUUAAAUAAUGAUAUAGUUAAGAUUGAGGGUAAAGAUCUGCUUUCACACUUUUGGGAAAGGGCUUGUGAAGAAAAAUCUUAUUGCAAGAACUGGGAGCUCUUUAAAUUUGAAGUGUCCAAAUACCUUAGAAAAUAUGGUAGUAAUCUUGCUAAGACCAGAAGAGCUGAGGAGGAAAAGGUGAUCAUUAAGAGAACUUCCCUUUCUCAGAGGUCCCCAGCCGGCCUCUCGGGAGGAGAAGAUGGAACUGAUUGAGUUACAAAAUAAACUGGAUAAUACAGUGGGGCAAAAAAGUAUUUAGUCAGCCACCAAUUGUGCAAGUUCUCCCACUUAAAAAGAUGAGGCCUGUAAUUUUCAUCAUAGGUACACUUCAACUAUGACAGACAAAAUGAGAGAAAAAAAUCCCAAAUCAAAUUGUAGGAUUUUUAAUGAAUUUAUUUGCAAAUUAUGGUGGAAAAUAAGUACACUGCUCAAAAAAAUGAAUGGAACACUAAAAUAACACAUCCUAGGUCUGAAUGAAUGAAAUAUUCUUAUUAAAUACUUUUUUUCUUUACAUAGUUGAAUGUGCUGACAACAAAAUCACGCAAAUUAUCAAUGGAAAUCAAAUUUAUCAACCCAUGGAGGUCUGGAUUUGGAGUCACACUCAAAAUUAGUGGAAAACCACACUACAGGCUGAUCCAACUUUGAUGUAAUGUCCUUAAAACAAGUCAAAAUGAGGCUCAGUAGUGUGUGUGGCCUCCACGUGCCUGUAUGACCUCCCUACAAUGCCUGGGCAUGCUCCUGAUGAGGUGGCGGAUGGUCUCCUGAGGGAUCUCCUCCCAGACCUGGACUAAAGCAUCCGCCAACUCUUAGACAGUCUGUGGUGGCGUUGGUGGAUGGAGCGAGACAUGAUGUCCCAGAUGUGCUCAAUUGGAUUCAGGUCUGGGGAACGGGCGGGCCAGUCCAUAGCAUCAAUGCCCUCCUCUUGCAGGAACUGCUGACACACUCCAGCCACAUGAGGUCUAGCAUUGUCUUGCAUUAGGCAGAACCCAGGGCCAACCGCACCAGCAUAUGGUCUCACAAGGGGUCUGAGGAUCUCAUCUCAGUACCUAAUGGCAGUCAGCCUUCCAUGUGCUCGCCAGAGGUAGCCUGUCUGGCACCCCAAAGAAAUGCCACCCCACACCAUGACUGACCCACCGCCAAACCGGUCAUGCUGGAGGAUGUUGCAGGCAGCAGAACAUUCUCCAUGGCGUCUCCAGACUCUGUCACGUCUGUCACAUGUGCUCAGUGUGAACCUGCUUUCAUCUGUGAAGAGCACAGGGCGCCAGUGGCAAAUUUGCCAAUCUUGGUGUUCUCUGGCAAAUGCCAAACGUCCUGCACGGUGUUGGGCUGUAAGCACAACCCCCACCUGUGGACGUCGGGCCCUCAUACCACCCUCAUGGAGUCUGUUUCUGACCGUUUGAGCAGACACAUGCACAUUUGUGGCCUGCUGGAGGUCAUUUUGCAGGGCUCUGGCAGUGCUCCUCCUGCUCCUCCUUGCACAUAGGUGGAGGUAGCGGUCCUGCUGCUGGGUUGUUGCCCCCCUACGGCCUCAUCCACAUCUCCUGGUGUACUGGCCUGUCUCCUGGUAGCGCCUCCAUGCUCUGGACACUACGCUGACAGACACAGCAAACCUUCUUGCCACAGCUCGCAUUGAUGUGUCAUCCUGGUUGAGCUGCACUACCUGAGCCACUUGUGUGGGUUGUAGACUCCGUCUCAUGCUACCACUAGAGUGAAAGCACCGCCAGCAUUCAAAAGUGACCAAAACAUCAGCCAGGAAGCAUAGGACCUGAGAAGUGGUCUGUGGUCACCACCUGCAGAGCCCCUCCUUUAUUGGGGGUGUCUUGCUAAUUGCCUAUAAUUUCCACCUGUUGUCUAUUCCAUUUGCACAACAGCGUGUGUUAUGUAUUGUCAAUCAGUGUUGCUUCCUAAGUGGACAGUUUGAUUUCACAGAAGUGUGAUUGACUUGGAGUUACAUUGUCCUGUUUAAGUGUUCCCUUUUUUUUAGCAGUGUAUUUGGCCACCUACAAACAAGCAAUAUUUCUGUCUCUAACAGACCUGUAACUUCUUCUUUAAGAGGCUCCUCUGUCCUCCACUCGUUACCUGUAUGAACAUGUUAUCAGUAUAAAAGACACCUGUCCACAACUUCAAACAGUCACACUCCAAACUCUACUAUGGCCAAGACCAAAGAGCUGUCAAAGAACACCAGAAACAAAAUUGUAGACCUGCACCAGGCUGGGAAGACUGAAUCUGCAAUAGGUAAGCAGCUUGGUUUGAAGAAAUCAACUGUGGGAGCAAUUAUUAGGAAAUGGAAGACAUACAAGACCACUGAUAAUCUCCCUCGAUCUGGGGCUCCACGCAAGAUCUCACAAGGCUCCUUCUGCUUUUAAUCAUAUAUAAGAUCUCGGAAGAAAUGGAUUGAGGGAGAACAGAAUUCAUCCUAUUUCUGUAGACUUCAGAAAUGUCACUCUACAAAUAACACUCCAUAAGUUAAACAUUGGUGUUAUUACAGAUGACCAAAAUUAAUCGCUAAAUACUGUAGCAAUUUUUACAGAAUUGUAUAGCUCUACGUACUGUCAGGAAUCCACAGAUAUGAUUUUUGACUGCACUGAAUAAUGUUCACUCUAUCAGUGAUAUAGAAUCUAAACAGUGUGAACCCAUCAAAGUUGAGGAGAUUAUAGUCUAUCAAACAUCCGAAGAACAAUAAAUCACCAGGUGUUGAUGGAAUUCAUCAGAAUUGUACAAAUUAUUUUCUGAACAAGUAGCUCCCUUCCUAUUUGAUGUCUUUUUAGAGUAUUAAAAACAAUGUUCUCCCUCCUACAAUGAGUCAGUGGUUAAUAACACUGAUACCUAAGCCUAAAAAAGUACUGCUCAUCGAUAACUGGCGUCCAAUUUGUAGUCUUAAUAAUGACUACAAGAUAUUAGCCGUACUACUUGCAAAAAUAAUUAAAGAAGUCCUGGAUGCAAUCAUUGAUGAAACACAGUCUGGCUUCAUGAGGAACAGACAUAUUUCUAACAAUAUCAGACUAGUAUUAGACAUACUUGACUACUCAGACCUAAUAACCGAGGAUAGCUUCAUAUUUUUAGAUUUUCAUAAAGCAUUUGACACAGUAGAGCAUCAGUUCCUCUUCCACUCCCUUGAGAGACUUGGCUUUGGGGAUUUUUUUUUUCUAUAUGGCUAUUAAGACUCUCUAUACAAAUGGUAACAGCUCUAUCAAAUUAAAAUAUGACACCUCGCCUAGAUUUGAGUUAAAGAGCAGAAUUAAGCAAGGUUGUCCUAUCUCUCCGUACCUGUUUUUAUUAAUCACACAAAUUCUUUAAAUAAUAGUCCUGUACAAGGCAUUUCCAUAGCUGGUAAAGAAAUUGUUAUAAGCCAGCUGGCUGAUGAUACUACACUUUUUUUCUGAAAGAUGCUAACCAAAUACCCAUAUCGAUAAAUUUGAUACAAUCCUUUUCCAAAGCGUCUGGUCUAUAUCUUAACAUGAAUAAAUGUGAACUCAUGCCUGUCAAAGAUUGUGUGACACCUUCAUAUUAUAGUAUUCCAGUAAAAGAAGAACUUACCUAUUUAGGCAUAACCAUUACAAAAAAUCAGAAGUCUAGAGGCUUACUAAAUUUUAACCCUCUUAUUUAAAAAUAAUAAUAAUAAAUUUAAAAAAAAAACAGAAGAAGCUAAAUCAAUGGCUACAGAGGGACUUAUCUUUUAAAAGGAAGUCCUAAUAACUUCAGCCUUGGUUAUCUCUAGACUAACAUAUGGUACUCUAUCUUUUAUAUCUUGACAGUAAAAUAAGCAAGGAGAUAGACCAGAUGAUUUUCUACUUUCUGUGGAGAAACCAUACCCAUUACAUUAGGAAAACUGUUGUAUUGAACACUUAUGAGAAUGGUGGGCUGAAUUUUCUGGACUUUACUACCUUAAAUAAUAGUUUUUAAGAUCAAUUGUAUAAAACAAUUCCUAAGAAGACACUUAUAUGUGUAAUUUUAUUCCUCGUGUCUUCUCUACAUUUGGUGGCCUUAACUUCAUGUUGGUUUGCAAUUAUAAUAUUGACAAAGUUCCAGUGAAACUUUCUGCUUUUCAUCGGCAGGUUUUCUUGUCAUGGUCCUUAAAACCCUUUCAUGCUUGAGUUUCAAAUAUCUCUAACGGUCGCCCCAGCGUUUUUUUAAUGCACGUGAUGUUAGCAUGUUCUCUCCAUUCCAGAAUGUGAUUGAUACGUAACAGUGCAUUUAAUCCGCGCUGCCCUCAAACUAAAAGCACGCAGCCCGUUUUUAUUUAUAGGCUGUUUCAAUUUCAAAUGAAUUUCUGUUUUUAUUUUCUAAGAACAGUUUGAAUUUAGGUGUGUUCCACCUCAUUCAUUCUCAUAAAAAUGGUCAUUUUUACUUUUGUGGACAAUUUAAUAUUUGGGACAUUUCUGACCCGGACAAAAUUCCCAAGCACUUCCCAAUUGUUUGUGCAGUUCAAGUCUGCAGACAUUUGCUCAUCUCCCGUCAGAACAGGAUCUGCACACGUGUUCACAUUUUCCAUCUGUUGCAGUCAUUGUUUUCGUUACUAAUAAUAACUUUGGAAAUGUGUGUGUUUCUAUCAAAUUGAAUUAUUACGUUGUAAUAGUUUCUGUACGUCGUUUCUAUUGUAGCAUACUGUAUGUAUAGAGCAUAAUAUAUUUGUGUAUAUUCUUUAUAACCGCAGACACGUGAGGUAACGUUACUCAUUUUAUAACCUUCAUGGUGUUCUAUUCAAUCGUGCUUAUGCAGCUAGCUACUUCUAUCAGCUCUGUAAAACAAUGCUAAUUGCGUCAGAGAAGUAUUAUCUUGUGAUGUAUUUUGAAGCUACAUGACCUUAUGACUCCCAAGUGGCACAGCGGUCAAAGGCACAGCACAUCAAUGCUAGAGAUGUCACUACAGACUCCCUGGUUCAAAUCCAUGCUGCGUUUCUAUCAAAAAACCACAAACAGUAUUUGCCAAUAUCAUAACUGGAAUUGGGCAUCUUUGGAGUUGAAGAAUGAGGACAGCUGUUGUAUGCUAACCUACACUCCUUAACAGUUGUACUGGAUGAAAACACAGCAAGAAAACACACAGGCCAAUAUGUAAUAGUCGUCUAUUUUAUUGCAGUAUUGGUAGUUGGUUCAACAACAACAACUUGUUGUACUAGAGGACAAAAAACAGAAUAUGCAUAACCCAUAUUUAAUAUUCAUGCAGUGACUGAACAAAAACUGCAUUUCCACCCCCACCUCUAAAGGCAUAGUAUCAUGGCAGGUCACCUGUCAGGUCAGUCAGUCACUUAUCGCUGCAGAUGUGCUCAAUAAUGCUUGAGCAUGUGAUACUCCUCAAAGCAUGGUGAAAUACAUAGAGGUGUAUCACAAGCUAAACACAUGUAUUUUGUCUUCUUCUCCUAGCGCCUCUUCUCCUGGUUUAUCAUGUCCGCCUUAUCCACGGCCCCCAUUUUGAGGAUAUAGUCAAGCACACAAUCUGGUUUGAUCUUUCUCUCUCCCGUCAGGUGGUCCACCUUCUCUGUGGCCGACAUGGUUGCUGUAUGGACAGUGGAGAGGACAAGGACUUCUCGUUUGUCAUGCCACUUUACUGCCAGCUGUUGACCGUUCUCCUGGAACUCCACCUCCCCUCUCUGCAUCUUCCUGCAUCCGUAUGCCGGCAUCCCCUUCCUGUUCGACCUGACUGUGCCACAGGCCCCUGUGCUGUUGGAGAGCAGAUGCUGUGGAAGAGUGUGGGACUGCUGUACCAAUUGUCCACGUAAGUCCCUUGCCGAGAUGAGGAGCCAGCAUGGUCAUCACCACGGACCCGGACACCCCAAGCCCCUCAUAAUGUUGGAUGUCAGUGAUGGACCCUGUGUAUACUAUAAUAUCCUAGACAAAUCCUGUCUUCACGUCGCACAUGACAAAGAACUUCACUCCAAACCUGUGCCUUUUGGCGGGAAUAUAUUGACAGAACGCCGGCCUACCUUUCCAUAACGUCAGGGACUCAUCAAUGCAUAGUUCCUUGUAUGGCACAAAGACAUGACCAAAUGCUGAUGUCAGGCUGAUAAGAACAUUUCUUAUUUUGUAUAACGGGUCACUUAGGAUGGCAGUAGCAUUGUUGACGAAAUGCAGGCAUCGCAGCAGAACUAGGAAGCGGUCUUGGGAAAAGAGGUUUGCAAAGAAGGGAGUUGCGAACAUAGGAUCUGUGCUCCAGUAUUCUCCUUAGGGAGUUCUUAUUUACUAUUCCCAUUAGAAGGACUGGCACCAGAAAAUAAAAUUUUUUCACUAAUUGUGGUUGUCACCCAUUUAGUGAGUUUCCCCCUCACUACUGGCUCUCUCUUCUGUAGCUCCAAGGCAUAGCGAUUGGUCCCCUCUACUGUUUCCCACCAACUCCUCUGUCAGAAACCACUUGAAGUACUCUGUCUCAGUUGGAAAUGGCAAGGGGCGUUGCACUCCAGACUGCAAACAGCAGGGCCAGGAGGGGUGAAAUGACUGGCGGCCUUCCAGCUACCACAACUCCUGUACUUCAUCCACUGCCGGUCUGCCUCCAUCACCACCAGCAUCUUCAAAGGGACCUGGUACUUUGUCAGUGGACAAGGGAAAUUCAGAUUCAGGGUUCUCAAUGGCUACAAGGUUGGGGGGCAGCUCCUUACUGUCACUGUCAGAAUCUGAUUCCUGACUUUCAGACUCAUUGUCAUAAUUUUAAAAUAUCUCCAGAAUUUACACAUUUGUGAGUCGUCUCCUUUUCAAAGGCAUUGCUAAUGCUACAGCUUAGCUCACUAGCCUAGCUACAUACAUAAACAACAACACUAAAUGGCCCAGAGUGAGAUGGUACGUGGUUGACUGCCGGCACCCGCCACUUGUAUCAAUAAAUCACUAUCAAAAAAAUGUUUUGUGUGGCAAUUAUUUGUGUAUUUACUGUCUUAUUCACACGUUUUCAAUUCUAGGUGACAAAUCAUGCAUUCCGAUUCUUGCAUAGAUUGUAAUGGGCACAUAUUAUGUGUAAAAUACUGUUUUGAAGGUUGUACUGAUUAUGAGCUAAGCCAAUUCCAGCUGUGUAACCAUGCUUGUUGACAUGCAAUGCAUUCUGGGUUUCACGUAAUCGUCUGUUUGACCAAAGAUGUUAUAACAAAAUGAAGUGAGUAAGUGUUCACUCAUUUUUUUGAGGACUUCCGGAAAUGAAUGGUGGGAUGUGAACGACGGUAGAUGACACACCCCUUCAACAUGCAUACUAUAAACAGACCAAACUCAUCUUGUCAUCUUCGGUUUCUGCGAGGAAAAAAUGCAUGGCUGUGCGCUGAAACUAAUCGUCGGAUUAUUUUCGAUUUCUAGAAAGUGUUUUACCUAAUUAUUUCGAUCAAUGGUGAGCUCACCCGUGGUGUGAUUAAUUAUAUAUAGUAAUUGCUAUUAGCUAAUUGAUAUUGUAGUUUAUGUCAGCCGAGAGUUGGAAAAUAUGACUGCUUGUGUUGGGUCAAUCUUUCCUCAGCUCUAGGACAAAUGUAGCCUACAUUUUUCUGGUUAGGAUGAUUGUGUUAUGCUAUAGAUAUUCACAGAAGUAUAUGAACAUUGCAUCCAAAAAUAAGCUGCUUACAUUCUGGACAUUUUAUUUAUUUCACCUUUAUUUAACCAGGUAGGCAAGUUUAGAACAAGUUGUCAUGUACAAUUGCGACCUGGCCAAGAUGAUAAAGCACAACUUUGUAAGGACUGUGUUUGUGUAAAUAGUUUCUGAAAAAAGUGUGGCCAGCUCAAAUGCUUAUUGUUGCGUCAUUCGAAACUGGCCGUUCUAAAUGAGUGUUCUAAUCACGGGGUGUGAUCAUACGCUUCAGGGACCACUGUAGAACGAUCACACCCGUGUGAUGGUACAUGUGAAAGGGUUCAUUUAUAAGCAGAAUUUUUCUCCACACAUUAUAUAUGGAACAAUCUGGAUAUAUUGUAUAAAAUUAUUCUUUGUUUUUAGAAUAUAAGUUCUGAAAUAAUAUCCUAUUGGUGAGCCAACUGGUAAACGCAGAGGGUAUUUUACUCAGUUAUAAGGAAUUCUUAUCACUUUACAAGGUUCCUGUAACACCUAAACAUUUUGCAAUUGUCUUAGAUGCCAUUCCCUCAGGUGUUGCUUUAUUAUUCAGGAAUGUGUCAAGACCUGACCCCCAGAGCCUACCUUCUGUUGAACCUGUUGACUCAUCAGUAGGAACAUUCAACAAUAGGAAUACGAACCUUGUUUCAGCAGGAUGUCAUGCCUUAUUGGAAUGGAUUUAUUGAUAAUAUUUGUCGCAAAAAAGUUUGGAUGUUGCCAUACACAUACCUACUUAACAAAAUUUAAGGAAGUUUUGUUUAAAAAUAUUCAUAAAUAUUAUCCUGCCAACCACUACAUGAAGAAGUUUAAGGAAAACAUGAACUCAAAUUGCUCAUUUUGUAAUGACCACCCAGAAACAGUGGUAUUUUAUUCAUGUACGAAAACUGUGGCAAGACAACAGUAGAUUUAUAAUUGAACACAUUCAUGAGGAUCUUACACUAUUGUAGAGAGAUGUACUGCUUGGAUUCUUUACCUAUGAUAGAAAUAAGCUGAAACAUUUUUGGCCAAAUUUCAUAUUCACAAAUGUAAAUUUACAAGCAAAACACAUUUUCUUACCUUACAAAAAGAAAUGGAACUGCAUUUUAAGAUAAUUAAAUACUCUAACAAAAAAGCUGUUAGAAUAAUAAGUAUGUCCUUGUGUAAUGUGAUAUUGUACCCCUAGCCCCGCCCCUAGCCCAAUUGUUCUUUGUAUAUUAUUUAUAUAUUGUGUUCCCACAUGUACUUCCUGUAUUGAUUUGUUAAUAAAAUUAAACUGGUAAAUGUUUCUAUUUAUGCCAGUUCCUUUCA